GGCGAACGCUGGCGGCGUGCUUAACACAUGCAAGUCGAACGGAAAGGCCCUGCUUUUGUGGGGUGCUCGAGUGGCGAACGGGUGAGUAACACGUGAGUAACCUGCCCUUGACUUUGGGAUAACUUCAGGAAACUGGGGCUAAUACCGGAUAGGAGCUCCUGCUGCAUGGUGGGGGUUGGAAAGUUUCGGCGGUUGGGGAUGGACUCGCGGCUUAUCAGCUUGUUGGUGGGGUAGUGGCUUACCAAGGCUUUGACGGGUAGCCGGCCUGCGAGGGUGACCGGCCACAUUGGGACUGAGAUACGGCCCAGACUCCUACGGGAGGCAGCAGUGGGGAAUAUUGCACAAUGGGCGGAAGCCUGAUGCAGCAACGCCGCGUGCGGGAUGACGGCCUUCGGGUUGUAAACCGCUUUCGCCUGUGACGAAGCGUGAGUGACGGUAAUGGGUAAAGAAGCACCGGCUAACUACGUG
rnacentral:rRNA from 1 species